GUUACGCUACACAAACUCUAAGACCCCAGCCUCUGGAUCUCUGCCUGCUCCUCCUACUGGCCAAUUUGAUUGGUCUAUGAGGCAAGCCAGAACUUACAGGUNNNNNNNNNNUGGAAUCUGACUGCGAGUGCAGCCAGGCCCAAUCCCCAAGGUUCAUUUCACUAUGGAAAGAUAACUCCAACAAAGACAAUUGUAUUGGCCAAUUCAGC
rnacentral:misc_RNA from 1 species